GAUGAACGCUGGCGGCGUGCCUAAUACAUGCAAGUCGAGCGAAUGGAUUGAGAGCUUGCUCUUAUGAAGUUAGCGGCGGACGGGUGAGUAACACGUGGGUAACCUGCCCAUAAGACUGGGAUAGCUCCGGGAAACCGGGGCUAAUACCGGAUAACAUUUUGAACCGCAUGGUUCGAAAUUGAAAGGCGGCUUCGGCUGUCACUUAGGGAUGGAGCGGGGUCGCAUUAGCUAGUUGGUGAGGUAACGGCUCACCAAGGCAACGAUGCGUAGCCCACCUGAGAGGGUGAUCGGCCACACUGGGACUGAGACACGGCCCAGACUCCUACGGGAGGCAGCAGUAGGGAAUCUUCCGCAAUGGACGAAAGUCUGACGGAGCAACGCCGCGUGAGUGAUGAAGGCUUUCGGGUCGUAAAACUCUGUUGUUAGGGAAGAACAAGUGCUAGUUGAAUAAGCUGGCACCUUGACGGUACCUAACCAGAAAGCCACGGCUAACUACGUGCCAGCCGCCGCAGUAA
rnacentral:rRNA from 1 species